GUUGUUUGAUGAUUUGUUGAUGGCGGCCAUUCUAGCAGGUCUGUGUGGGUGUCCCCUGGAGCUGUUUGUUGUUUUGAAUCCAGUUGUGCCCUCAGUUGUUAUUGGAUGCAGAAGGCAACAAUAAAACAAUGCUAAAAUAUAAAUGCCAU